UUGAACGCUGGCGGCGGCCUAACACAUGCAAGUCGAACGGAGUGGCGAACGGGUGAGUAACGCGUGAGCAACCUGCCUAUGACAGUGGGAUAGCCUCGGGAAACCGGGAUUAAUACCGCAUAGUCAUAGAUGGGCUCGCGUCUGAUUCGCUAGUUAGCGAGAUAACAGCCCACCAAGGCGACGAUCAGUAGCCGGUCUGUGAGAAAGAGCGGCGACAUUUGAACGAGGACACAGUCCAGACUCCUGCGCAAGGGAGCAAUGGCGGAUAUAGCACUCUGGGGGAAACCCUGAUGGAGCGACGCCGCGUAAACGAAGAAGGUAUUCGUAUCGUGAUAUUCUGUCCUAUGGGAAGCGGUACCAUAGAAGAAAGCUCCGGCUAAAUACGUGCCAGCAGCCGCGGUAAUUC
rnacentral:rRNA from 1 species